rnacentral:rRNA from 1 species
UACGUAGGGUGCGAGCGUUAAUCGGAAUUACUGGGCGUAAAGUGUGCGCAGGUGGCUUCGCAAGUCGGGUGUGAAAUCCCCGGGCUUAACCUGGGAAUUGCGCUCGAAACUACGGAGCUGGAGUGUGGCAGAGGAAGGUGGAAUUCCACGUGUAGCGGUGAAAUGCGUAGAGAUGUGGAGGAACACCAAUGGCGAAGGCAGCCUUCUGGGCCAACACUGACACUCAUGCACGAAAGCGUGGGGAGCAAACAGG